CAGUCGCCACGGUAAUACGAAAGGUCCAAGCGUUACUCGGAAUUACUGGGCGUAAAGCGCGCGUAGGCGGUCUUGUAUGUCGAUUGUGAAAGCCCCGGGCUCAACCUGGGAACUGCAGUCGAAACUGCAAGACUUGAAUGUUGGAGAGGUUGGGGGAAUACCUAGUGGAGAAGUGAAAUUCGUAGAGAUUAGGUGGAACACCAGAGGCGAAGGCGCCUGACUGGCCAAACAUUGACGCUAAGGCGCGAAAGCGUGGGUAGCAAACAGGAUUAGAUACCCCAGUAGUCCCUGUCUCUUAUAC
rnacentral:rRNA from 1 species